UACAGAGGUCCCAAGCGUUGUUCGGAUUCACUGGGCAUAAAGGGUGCGUAGGCGGUCGGGUAAGUCUGGCGUGAAAUCUCCAAGCCUAACUUGGAAACUGCGUUGGAUACUAUCCGGCUCGAGGAAUGGAGGGGAGACUGGAAUACUUGGUGUAGCAGUGAAAUGCGUAGAUAUCAAGUGGAACACCAGUGGAGAAGGCGAGUCUCUGGACAUUUCCUGACGCUGAGGCACGAAAGCCAGGGGAGCAAACGGG
rnacentral:rRNA from 1 species